AGCUGGCUGCCGGGUUGUCCCGGCCCCAGACGGGCAGCGCCCUGCCCACGGGCUGCCUGUCUGCACUGCCCACACGGGCUUGGCCUCUGCUCGCUGCCUGAGCCCCGCCAGCGAAGCCGGGAUGCAGCGCUGCUCCCUGCUCCGAGCACGGAGAGAGAUGCCCGAGGUCACGGCGGCUGCAGAGAGCACCAAAGUGAAUGCUGAGGUCCCAGUCCAACGAUCCACGCAGCAAGCGCAUCCUCCAUCCUCCCAAAGUCCUGCACAUUCCCGGCUGCCCCAACACCACCUCCCCUUGGGAAAUCCCAGCUCAGCCAUACCCACCGGCGCAGGAGCCCGGCGUGGGGCCGCGCCCGUCGGCGCUGGCCGCGCUGAGCCCACCCCGCGCCAGCCGCCGGGUGUUCUCCCCGCUCUGACAGCUGGACGGAAAUUGGAAGGCGAAGCUGACAUGUGUCAACAAUAACCAGCGAACAAGCGCCAGCGGCGGCGGCGGCUGUCCCCACCACCUCGAGGAGGCUGGCCACUCUUGGCUGAAAUCACGGCACGUUGCAGCUGGAAGCAGGAGUAUUGUUUCAAUUAUUUCCAUUAUAUAAAGUCAGGCCAUUUAAUAUAUUCUGCCUCAAAGGGGCUCAACUAAAGAGAUAAAAUAAACACUGAAAAUCUGCUUUGCUGACAUGUACCAGGAAUUCAGUUUCGACACCAAGCCUUCCCUCCCAUCUCGCUGCUCAUCUUCCCUUUCCUCCCAGCUCCCUCUCCUACUCUUGCUGCCCCUUGGCCUUCAGUGCCACUUGAUGCCAAUUCCCUCUUUGGGCUUUGCUCCUGUUUUGGCAGCUGGAGCACUUAAAGGCUGUGCAGCCACGCUGGCGUCCAGGACUGGAGCAAGCCAGAGGAGCCAAGAAGAGAUAUGGAGCUCCAGAGCUCGCUCUGGAAUGAAGAAUUUGAUUUAUGGCAAAUCUUAAGCCUCUUGGGAUGCCAUAAUCCCUGAGAACAGCAGGAAUGGCGGGUGGCACAAACCCAGGAAUGGCUGGAGUGUGGCAUGAGGAGGAGGAGGAGAAGAAGGAAAAGGAGAAAGAAAAGGAGGAAGAGGAGGAGGAGGGGAGAAUAAAUGUGCCAUGAGCAUGCUGCGGGCUGCACUUGGCAAUGUCAGCACUAAAAUCAGCCACCUUCAUGCCUUCCUUCUCAUCUGGGAGAGCUGAUGGCACCCCAGCACCGAGGGACCUCAUGGCUCUGUGCUGGCAUGGGAGGUGGUGAGUUGGGCUGCCAGGAGGCUGGAGUUGCUCACACCAGCUCUGACCAGACAGGAGCUGCUUCCCAUUAACGCUUCCCACGGUAUGAGCUUCCCCAGAGCACUCCUCCCUUGCAGGGCUGUGCUAGUCCAGGUAUUCCCAACAUGUUUGCAUGUGAAGCACCAGCCACACCAGCAGUAAAUCUGCUACUUGGCCUUUCCCAGCAUAUUUCGCUGCUCAGAGCUCUGCCUGUCCUGGAGCGGGGUCACGGGCAGUGCCACCGCCAGGGGUCCGGGUGGUGGAGGGAGCCGUGUCACGGGGGGCCAGCGAGGGCUGCGCUGCGGCGAGAGUCGGAGCUGGCAUUUCAUAAGAGCAGGGAAAGGACCUCUGCCGAACUGGCGCGAGAGCAGCUGUGACUUUCCAUUCCUGUGGGAAGUGGGCUGCCACCGUCCAAGCAUCUGGGCUUGUUAUGAUGGGAGAGGAAUGCCAAGUAUUUUUCUUCCUUAUCCACUACCACCCGCUCAAACCCUGCCCUGAUCAAACCCACAUUCAUCGCCUGGGAUGCACUGGGGAAGAUCCCUCCCAGCCCUUGUGGCUGCUGGGAGCUCACGGCACCUGUGGAGAAAACCCCGCCCUCAUCCAGGAGCUCCCUCCGUCCCCCUGCCCCUUCCUGUCUCCUUCUGCUGCUAGCCAGCUCCAGACACUUAAUUUUCACGUUACUACCUUUGCUGGGAGCAUCUCUGCACCUGCAUCCCUGUGCAUCCUCAGUGGCUGCACCCUUGCUGACCUGUGGGCCCGGCGGGACCGCACUGUCCCCUCCAGAGCCCUGAGCAUCCCGAAAACAGCCACUGGGCUGGUGCCACGGGCGUGUGCCCUGGGGCGCCUGCCGUGCCGGGAAGCAGGCGGUGCAGCUUUGGAAGGUCACCAAGAUUUUUCCGAAGAUGAAAGUGUGCUCAAGUGUCAAACAAACUUUCCAAAUUAUCUUUCUGGACACUUUCUCCCUUCUGCUUUGGAAGACGGAGGAGGAACAUUUCAUUCCCUCUGUGCUGGCGUGGAGCGGGGCUGCGUGAGGAGCCGGGAGCUGCCAGCGGCACCCGCGGCUCAACCUCGCUUCUUCCUCCUCGACAUCAUCCCUGAGUCACCGCGGGUGCUUCCCUGGCAUCAUCAGCUGGGCUUCCCCCUCCCCGCAGCCCCCCAAACCUCUCCCAGCACAACAGAGGGCUGCCAGGUGCCCAGUUAAGCAGCGAGCACCACCUCUCCUCCCACCGACAGCUGGAUUUGGCAUAAAUAGACAAAUUAAAGGAAACGCGUGGAUUUCUCUAUCUCAAGGAUACCUGGCACACAGCAGCAGGGGCACGGAGACAGCGGCUAUGCCACCCUCGGCAAAUCCCCCGAGAUCCCAAACAGCUGGAGAUGGGCUGAGCAAUGGCCACGUGGUGCCCCCAGGAUCCAGCACUAACAAGUGCUGUCUAAUUAACACAUCCUCCAGUGACAGGUCACCCUGGCAAGGCUUGUGCCAAUAUCCGCUCACCCAUGCCAGCAGCCGGUGAGCGUGACCAGGAGUGAGGUGUUUCCCUGGCCCUUGCCCAGUGUUUGCCUUCCAGGUCUAGACUAGGAAAUUCCCUGUUGGCUCCAGGGCAGCUGGGCUGGCACCCAGCAGGACUUGGGGAAGCUCCUUGCCCUGUGGCACCCGCGUCUCAUCCCGGUCACGGCAAUCCACACCAAUGCAGCUGCCUGCAGCCAGGAUUUGGAGACACUCAGAUAUCCCCAGUGCCAUUGUCAUGUUCCUGUUUUUCUGUGCUGGGAUGGCAGCAACAUCCCCAUGUCCACAUGGGCCCCCCCAGCCCUUGCAAACUCCUGACGGUGAUGCCAUGCUGCAGGUCUGGUUGUUUAUGGAAAUUUCAGCUGAGCCAGAUGCUGCAAUUUGUGCAUUUUAUAUGUAAUUUUUCAAUUUAUUUCAUAAUUAGAAAAAAAAAAAACCCCGAAGUGAUCCCAACCAUUA